AACGAUGAACCACCUUCGGGUGGGGAUUAGUGGCGAACGGGUGAGUAACACGUGGGCAAUCUGCCCUGCACUCUGGGACAAGCCCUGGAAACGGGGUCUAAUACCGGAUACUGACCUGCCAAGGCAUCUUGGCGGGUCGAAAGCUCCGGCGGUGCAGGAUGAGCCCGCGGCCUAUCAGCUUGUUGGUGAGGUAAUGGCUCACCAAGGCGACGACGGGUAGCCGGCCUGAGAGGGCGACCGGCCACACUGGGACUGAGACACGGCCCAGACUCCUACGGGAGGCAGCAGUGGGGAAUAUUGCACAAUGGGCGAAAGCCUGAUGCAGCGACGCCGCGUGAGGGAUGACGGCCUUCGGGUUGUAAACCUCUUUCAGCAGGGAAGAAGCGAAAGUGACGGUACCUGCAGAAGAAGCGCCGGCUAACUACGUGCCAGCAGCCGCGGUAAUACGUAGGGCGCAAGCGUUGUCCGGAAUUAUUGGGCGUAAAGAGCUCGUAGGCGGCUUGUCGCGUCGGUUGUGAAAGCCCGGGGCUUAACCCCGGGUCUGCAGUCGAUACGGGCAGGCUAGAGUUCGGUAGGGGAGAUCGGAAUUCCUGGUGUAGCGGUGAAAUGCGCAGAUAUCAGGAGGAACACCGGUGGCGAAGGCGGAUCUCUGGGCCGAUACUGACGCUGAGGAGCGAAAGCGUGGGGAGCGAACAGGAUUAGAUACCCUGGUAGUCCACGCCGUAAACGGUGGGCACUA
rnacentral:rRNA from 1 species